rnacentral:rRNA from 1 species
GACGAACGCUGGCGGCGUGCCUAAUACAUGCAAGUAGAACGCUGAAGAGAGGAGCUUGCUCUUCUUGGAUGAGUUGCGAACGGGUGAGUAACGCGUAGGUAACCUGCCUUGUAGCGGGGGAUAACUAUUGGAAACGAUAGCUAAUACCGCAUAACAAUGGAUGACACAUGUCAUUUAUUUGAAAGGGGCAAUUGCUCCACUACAAGAUGGACCUGCGUUGUAUUAGCUAGUAGGUGAGGUAAUGGCUCACCUAGGCGACGAUACAUAGCCGACCUGAGAGGGUGAUCGGCCACACUGGGACUGAGACACGGCCCAGACUACUACGGGAGGCAGCAGUAGGGAAUCUUCGGCAAUGGGGGCAACCCUGACCGAGCAACGCCGCGUGAGUGAAGAAGAUUUUCGGAUCGUAAAGCUCUGUUGUAAGUCAAGAACGGGUGUGAGAGUGGAAAGUUCACACUGUGACGGUAGCUUACCAGAAAGGGACGGCUAACUACGUG